AUACUUACCUGGCAGGGGAGAUACCAUGAUCACGAAGGUGGUUUUCCCAGGGCGAGGCUUAUCCAUUGCACUCCGGAUGUGCUGACCCCUGCGAUUUCCCCAAAUGUGGGAAACUCGACUGCAUAAUUUGUGGUAGUGGGGGACUAUGUUCGCGCUCUCCCCUA
rnacentral:snRNA from 1 species